ACGGGUGAGUAAUAUAUCGGAACGUACCCUGGAGUGGGGGAUAACGUAGCGAAAGUUACGCUAAUACCGCAUACGAUCUAAGGAUGAAAGUGGGGGAUCGCAAGACCUCAUGCUCCUGGAGCGGCCGAUAUCUGAUUAGCUAGUUGGUAGGGUAAAAGCCUACCAAGGCAUCGAUCAGUAGCUGGUCUGAGAGGACGACCAGCCACACUGGAACUGAGACACGGUCCAGACUCCUACGGGAGGCAGCAGUGGGGAAUUUUGGACAAUGGGCGCAAGCCUGAUCCAGCAAUGCCGCGUGAGUGAAGAAGGCCUUCGGGUUGUAAAGCUCUUUUGUCAGGGAAGAAACGAUAUCCUCUAAUACAGGGUGUUAAUGACGGUACCUGAAGAAUAAGCACCGGCUAACUACGUGCCAGCAGCCGCGGUAAUACGUAGGGUGCAAGCGUUAAUCGGAAUUACUGGGCGUAAAGCGUGCGCAGGCGGUUUUGUAAGUCUGUUGUGAAAUCCCCGGGCUCAACCUGGGAAUGGCAAUGGAGACUGCAAGGCUAGAGUUUGGCAGAGGGGGGUAGAAUUCCACGUGUAGCAGUG
rnacentral:rRNA from 1 species